rnacentral:misc_RNA from 1 species
AACGCACAUUGCGCCCCUUGGUAUUCCAUGGGGCAUGCCUGUUCGAGCGUCAUUUACACCCUCAAGCUCUGCUUGGUGUUGGGCGUCUGUCCCGCUGCUCUGCGCGGACUCGCCUCAAAGGUAUUGGCGGUGGCCUCUGCCAGCUUCUCGCGCAGCGAAGUUUGCGCUCAGUGAAGCACGGCGUUGGGCUCGCGUCCACUAAGCUCACCUUCAUGACUUGACCUCGGAUCAGGUAGGGAUACCCGCUGAACUUAA